UAUGCCACAUAAGAUUUCUGCAUAAGGCUA
rnacentral:piRNA from 1 species